GACGUCGAAUAUCGACGUCAUAAACACCAAAGUUGAUCGUGUUUAUGACGUCGAAUAUCGACGUCAUAAACACUAAAGUUGAUCGUGUUUUAUCGACGUCAUAAACACCAAAGUUGAUCGUGUUUAUGACGUCGAAUAUCGACGUCAUAAACACCAAAGUUGAUCGUGUUUUAUCGACGUCAUAAACACCAAAGUUGAUCGUGUUUAUGACGUCGAAUAUCGACGUCAUAAACACCAAAGUUGAUCGUGUUUAUGACGUCGAAUAUCGACGUCAUAAACACCAAAGUUGUUCGUGUUUAUGACGUCGAUAUUCGACGUC
rnacentral:miRNA from 1 species